GACGAACGCUGGCGGCGUGCUUAACACAUGCAAGUCGAACGCUGAAGCUCAGCUUUUGUUGGGUGGAUGAGUGGCGAACGGGUGAGUAACACGUGAGUAACCUGCCCCCUUCUUUGGGAUAACGCCCGGAAACGGGUGCUAAUACUGGAUAUUCACUGGUCUUCGCAUGGGGGUUGGUGGAAAGGGUUUUUCUGGUGGGGGAUGGGCUCGCGGCCUAUCAGCUUGUUGGUGGGGUGAUGGCCUACCAAGGCUUUGACGGGUAGCCGGCCUGAGAGGGUGACCGGUCACAUUGGGACUGAGAUACGGCCCAGACUCCUACGGGAGGCAGCAGUGGGGAAUAUUGCACAAUGGGCGCAAGCCUGAUGCAGCGACGCCGCGUGAAGGAUGGAGGCCUUCGGGUUGUGAACCUCUUUCGCUCAUGGUCAAGCCGCAACAAUGGUUGUGGUGAGGGUAGUGGGUAAAGAAGCGCCGGCUAACUACGUG
rnacentral:rRNA from 1 species